rnacentral:lncRNA from 1 species
AAAUUUAUAAAAUUCUUAGAUACUUUUUGUUUUAUCAUCUUCUCCAUCUACGCUACUUUUCAACCACUUUUGAGAACAAAAUCCAAAAUUCACCCUAAUAAUUCGGCCCUUCACCCUCGCUUCCAUAAAUCUUCCUCACUCAUUUGAAUCAACUCAAACAUACACUCAUAGAGCAGCUCACCACUUCGCCAAACCAAAGCCUGCAACUUUCCAUAUUCCCCUCUCGAUCAAAAAGUAAAUAUCCAUGGAUUUUGUCAAAAAAUAAAAACUAGAAAAUUGGAAAAAAAUAAAUAAAUGAUGAACUCAUCUUAGCAUCGGAUAAACUCAGCACAAGUUGAAAACGUAACUGCUAAGUUCUAAGGAUUAAAAACAGUGAAGAAAGAGGGAAAAAUAACUCUCAAUGAACAGGACCAACGCUCAAUAUAUCAUAUUCACAUCUUUAUUCCCACUUUAACAUGAAACCAAUUCAAAAUACUAAAUUCAGAACGGAAAAACACACAGCAGUCAGGCAUUGAUGGUGACGAUGAAACAAUCACCGGCGAGAAAAAGCAAGGAGGCGAGAAGGAACAGUCGGCAGCGAGACAGUCAACGACAAGAUGAGAUGGAGCCGAAAAAGAGCAAUCAACGACGAGACUGGCAGUGAGAAGCUGUCGGUGGUGCAAAACAGUAGGCAACUUAGUGGUCACAACGCAAGGACAAUGCUGGCAAGAAGGAGUAGAUCUGGCAGGGAUGAUGCUAGCGUAGGCGAUUUGGGAGCGUUGGAGGUGGCUGAGCCAACUAAAAGUAGAGUGCGAGGGAGGACGAGGGAGCUGAUUCAGGUGAGUGAGAUCACCACUGUGAUUGAGUAAGUGAGACUGAGCCAGCAAGAGUAACAAUUGAGAGGUUAAGCGGCUGAGAGUUAUGAAUAAGAAAGAAUAAAGGAGAUGAAGUGAAGAGCUAAAGAUUGUUAUUGGGGUUGUAUGAUAGAUUCAAUUAGGUUAAAAGAUUGG